rnacentral:rRNA from 1 species
UACGUAGGGGGCUAGCGUUGUCCGGAAUCAUUGGGCGUAAAGAGCGUGUAGGCGGUCCGGUAAGUCCGCUGUGAAAGUCGGGGGCUCAACCCUCGAAUGCCGGUGGAUACUGUCGGGCUAGAGUACGGAAGAGGCGAGUGGAAUUCCUGGUGUAGCGGUGAAAUGCGCAGAUAUCAGGAGGAACACCUAUUGCGAAGGCAGCUCGCUGGGACGUAACUGACGCUGAGGAGCGAAAGCAUGGGGAGCGAACAGG